GCCUAACAGGAGUUUCCCUUAAGAAUAUAUUCACUGAAAACAUGCUAGAUGUUCCUCAAAUGUCAACAAAACAGAUUGUUAGGCAGAGAGUUACAAAAUCCCUCCUGAUUCUGAACUUUGAUAGACUAAAGCAGCACUGCCUGUUUCAAUAGAUGGGAGUAGGCUAAAACUAGGCACAUUGGAGUCAAUGAGAAGUAUAUCAGCAUCCCUUCUGUGGCAACAUUAAUGAAAAAAAAAAAACACCAAAACUAUUUUAAAGCGCAGGUAUUGCUGCUACCCACAGACAGCCUGGAUGAAACUCUAGUUUUACCACAUCUAUGGGAACUGUACUAUUGAUGUUCAGAUGGGUCAGUAUUGUACCUCAUGCAUAAAAACCUUCACAGUAGGUUUGAAAGUUUUCAUUUUUCUGGCAUCUAGGGACCAAACAGGUGAGUAGGCUAUGAGAGGGACAGCAGGGAUGUUUCUUUUGGCUUGGCCCAAUGUAGAUUCAGCAUGUGUCACAAAGAGUCUCAGACUCAAAAGGCUCAUGCAAAGACGCGUCUGCUGUUUCAACCCAAAGGCUGUAGCAAGUCUUGUGCACCAUUUAUACAGAUAUUUUGGAGGAAGAAUCUGUCCCACACACUUCCAUCCAGUGUCCCCAAGGAAGCGCUCAAGACUAACGAAAAGCUGAACAGUUUCUCUAAAACCUUGGGGAUCUUCUAUCAGCUGUGCCAUGUACACCAGUGUUUUGUGACUUCUCUUGGGACUAACAAAAAAUACUUGCAUUUUUAG
rnacentral:lncRNA from 1 species